GACGAACGCUGGCGGCGUGCUUAACACAUGCAAGUCGAACGGAAAGGCCCUGCUUGCAGUGUACUCGAGUGGCGAACGGGUGAGUAACACGUGGGUGAUCUGCCCUGCACUUCGGGAUAAGCCUGGGCAACUGGGUCUAAUACCGGAUAGGAGCCAUUUUUAGUGUGAUGGUUGGAAAGUUUUUUCGGUGUAGGCUGAGCUCGCGGCCUAUCAGCUUGUUGGUGGGGUAAUGGCCUACCAAGGCGGCGACGGGUAGCCGGCCUGAGAGGGUGGACGGCCACAUUGGGACUGAGAGAAGGCCCAGACACCUAAGGGAGGCAGAAGGGGGGAAUAUUGAACAAGGGGCGCAGGGCGGAUGCAGCGACGCCGCGUGGGGGAUGACGGCCUUCGGGUUGAAAACUACAUGCGCAAGGGACGAAGCUUUUUGUGACGGUACCUAGAGAAGAAGCACCGGCUAACUACGUG
rnacentral:rRNA from 1 species